rnacentral:rRNA from 1 species
GAUGAACGCUGGCGGCGUGCCUAAUACAUGCAAGUCGAGCGAACAGACGAGGAGCUUGCUCCUCUGACGUUAGCGGCGGACGGGUGAGUAACACGUGGAUAACCUACCUAUAAGACUGGGAUAACUUCGGGAAACCGGAGCUAAUACCGGAUAAUAUAUUGAACCGCAUGGUUCAAUAGUGAAAGACGGUUUUGCUGUCACUUAUAGAUGGAUCCGCGCCGCAUUAGCUAGUUGGUAAGGUAACGGCUUACCAAGGCAACGAUGCGUAGCCGACCUGAGAGGAUGAUCGGCCACACUGGAACUGAGACACGGUCCAGACUCCUACGGGAGGCAGCAGUGGGGAAUCUUCCGCAAUGGGCGAAAGCCUGACGGAGCAACGCCGCGUGAGUGAUGAAGGUCUUCGGAUCGUAAAACUCUGUUAUUAGGGAAGAACAAAUGUGUAAGUAACUAUGCACGUCUUGACGGUACCUAAUCAGAAAGCCACGGCUAACUACGUG